CAUCACGUCACAGUCAUGGCCAUGAUUUAGUGGGUGCUCCAGUCUCUGCCUGCAGGGCAGAGGAAGCAGCUGAGGAGCGUGGCAGUUGAGCUGGGAGAAGGAGAAACCAGGAGGACUGCCACUGAGCCUGGACCCUUGAAUCUCCAUGAAGGUGUUCUGGCUCCUAGUCAAGUUAUUCCUCAUUGCUCAGCUGCAAGCGGUCAUGAAAAUACUGGGCUUCCACACUUUCGGGAGACAGCUCUGCUCGUCAGUUCUGAUAUUUGUCCUGUCCUUGCGAAGGGUGAAGCUGUGGAAUGCUGUGAGAAGGAGCACACGGAUAAGCACAACCCAGAGGGAAACUGUGCAGAGGUAUAUGAGGACGACAGCGAGGAUUGUAGACAAUCGAGAGAGAUUGAGACAGCAGAUUCUGCUCUAUCAGCUGCCCCAUGGCUGCAGGUUGCACGUGGUGGAUAGAAGAGAUUGCAUCCUAUGUAGGCGGUAGCAGCCCCUCUCAACACCACCAGCCCAGUAGUCACAUGGACUGCACGGGCUGAGACAUAUCCAUUUUGAGGAGUGUUGAGAUAAUGUAUAGAGACAAGAAUGGCUGUAAGGAGCAGGUCAGUGGUGAGCCCAGACUUGACAGGAUAAAACACAGAUCUCCUAAAAA